CGCAGGACGAAGGGAAGGGAAUGUUAGAGAUAAUGCUAAUGAGAUUAGAAUUAGAUUAUUUGAUCUUAUCUAUUAUUAUAUUCGGUUAUUUAAAUUAUGGUUAAGAUAAAAUCGAAUAAGAGUAGGAUUCUAUGUAAUUAGUUAUAAAUAGGUAGGCCGGGAUUAUUUGGUUAAUGAAGUCGGGAGUCGUGAUAAUUAAUUAGGGCUCGCCGAAGGUUCCAUACGGUGAUGAGUUAACUUUUCUUCAAUAUAGCUUUGUUUUGCUUUGCUUCCAUGACAACGUAUUAGAUUCUUUGACUUGUCUUCUUCCUCUCUUGUCUUUUCUAAUUUACUUUUUGUGGAGAUCUCUAUAUACCAUAACAAGUAUAUAGAGCGUAUUUGUUGGAGGCCCACCAUCGUAAGAAGUGGUAU
rnacentral:lncRNA from 1 species